rnacentral:rRNA from 1 species
UGAGUUUACGCUCUACAACCCUUUGUGAACAUACCUAUAACUGUUGCUUCGGCGGGUAGGGUCUCCGUGACCCUCCCGGCCUCCCGCCCCCGGGCGGGUCGGCGCCCGCCGGAGGAUAACCAAACUCUGAUUUAACGACGUUUCUUCUGAGUGGUACAAGCAAAUAAUCAAAACUUUUAACAACGGAUCUCUUGGUUCUGGCAUCGAUGAAGAACGCAGCGAAAUGCGAUAAGUAAUGUGAAUUGCAGAAUUCAGUGAAUCAUCGAAUCUUUGAACGCACAUUGCGCCCGCCAGCAUUCUGGCGGGCAUGCCUGUUCGAGCGUCAUUUCAACCCUCAAGCUCUGCUUGGUGUUGGGGCCCUACAGCUGAUGUAGGCCCUCAAAGGUAGUGGCGGACCCUCCCGGAGCCUCCUUUGCGUAGUAACUUUACGUCUCGCACUGGGAUCCGGAGGGACUCUUGCCGUAAAACCCCCAAUUUUCCAAAGGUUGACCUCGGAUCAGGUAGGAAUACCCGCUGAACUUAAGCAUAUCAAUAAGCGGAGGAAAAGAAACCAACAGGGAUUGCCUCAGUAACGGCGAGUGAAGCGGCAACAGCUCAAAUUUGAAAUCUGGCCCUAGGCCCGAGUUGUAAUUUGCAGAGGAUGCUUUUGGUGCGGUGCCUUCCAAGUUCCCUAGAACGGGACGCCAGAGAGGGUGAGAGCCCCGUACAGUUGGACACCAAGCCUUUGUAAAGCUCCUUCGACGAGUCGAGUAGUUUGGGAAUGCUGCUCAAAAUGGGAGGUAUAUUUCUUCUAAAGCUAAAUACCGGCCAGAGACCGAUAGCGCACAAGUAGAGUGAUCGAAAGAUGAAAAGCACUUUGAAAAGAGGGUUAAACAGCACGUGAAAUUGUUAAAAGGGAAGCGCUUGUGACCAGACUUGCGUCCGGUGAAUCACCCAGCUCUCGCGGCUGGGGCACUUCGCCGGCUCAGGCCAGCAUCAGCUCGCUGUCGGGGACAAAAGCUUCAGGAACGUAGCUCUCUUCGGGGAGUGUUAUAGCCUGUUGCAUAAUACCCUUCGGCGGGCUGAGGUACGCG